rnacentral:rRNA from 1 species
AUUGAACGCUGGCGGCAGGCUUAACACAUGCAAGUCGAGCGGAGAUGAGGUGCUUGCACCUUAUCUUAGCGGCGGACGGGUGAGUAAUGCUUAGGAAUCUGCCUAUUAGUGGGGGACAACAUUCCGAAAGGAAUGCUAAUACCGCAUACGUCCUACGGGAGAAAGCAGGGGAUCUUCGGACCUUGCGCUAAUAGAUGAGUCUAAGUCGGAUUAGCUAGUUGGUGGGGUAAAGGCCUACCAAGGCGAAGAUCUGUAGCGGGUCUGAGAGGAUGAUCCGCCACACUGGGACUGAGACACGGCCCAGACUCCUACGGGAGGCAGCAGUGGGGAAUAUUGGACAAUGGGGGGAACCCUGAUCCAGCCAUGCCGCGUGUGUGGAGAAGGCCUUAUGGUUGUAAAGCACUUUAAGCGAGGAGGAGGCUACUGAGACUAAUACUCUUGGAUAGUGGACGUUACUCGCAGAAUAAGCACCGGCUAACUCUGUGCCAGCAGCCGCGGUAACAC